AUUAUGCCUCUGGUAGAUAACCUGCUCGUCGAUCGAUGAAGCCUAUCUUGCUGUUGUUUACUGGCGAACGGGUGAGUAACACGAGAGUAACCUGCCCUUGACUCUGGGAUAAGCCUGGGAAACUGGGUCUAAUACCGGAUAUGACCUUCCAUCGCAUGGUGGUUGGUGGAAAGCUUUUGUGGUUUUGGAUGGACUCGCGGACUAUCAGCUUGUUGGUGGGGUAAUGGCCUACCAAGGCGACGACGGGUAGCCGGCCUGAGAGGGUGACAGGCCCAACUGGGACUGAUAUACGGCCCAGACUCCUACGGGAGGCAGCAGUGGGGAAUAUUGCACAAUGGGCGCAAGCCUGAUGCAGCGACGCCGCGUGAGGGAUGACGGCCUUCGGGUUGUAAACCUCUUUCAGUAGGGAAGAAGCCGCAAGGAGACGGCCUCUGCAAAACAAGCGCCGGCUUGACACGUCCUAACCACCGCGGCAAUGCUAAGUGCGUGCGCGCUACCCCGAUUUUACGGGCGUAAAGAGCUCUUUCGCGAAUUGUCGCGUCUGCCGCGCAAGUCCGGGGCUUCUCUCCUCAUAUGUGGAGGGCAACGGCUCAAUAGAGAAAUGUCAGUGAAAACGGAAAUACUUGUGUGGCGAAGAAGAGCGCAGAUUUCCAGGUGUACCGCUAUGGCGCACGCAGGUCUGUGGAUUUUCACUGACUCAGACGACUUACUGCGUGGGAGAGUGAACCAGAUGAGAUACC
rnacentral:rRNA from 1 species